CUGUGACUCCUACGGGAGCAGCAGUGGGAAUAUUGCACAAGUGGGCGCAAGCCUGAUGCAGCCAUGCCGCGUGUAUGAAGAAGGCCUUCGGGUUGUAAAGUACUUUCAGCAGUGAGGAAGGUGGUGCAGUUAAUAGCUGUAUCAUUUGACGUUAGCUGCAGAAGAAGCACCGGCUAACUCCGUGCCAGCAGCCGCGGUAAUACGGAGGGUGCGAGCGUUAAUCGGAAUUACUGGGCGUAAAGCGCAUGCAGGUGGUUUGUUAAGUCAGAUGUGAAAGCCCCGGGGCUCAACCUCGGAAUUGCAUUUGAAACUGGCAGACUAGAGUACUGUAGAGGGGGUAGAAUUUCAGGUGUAGCGGUGAAAUGCGUAGAGAUCUGAAGGAAUACCGGUGGCGAAGGCGGCCCCCUGGACAGAUACUGACACUCAGAUGCGAAAGCGUGGGGAGCAAACAGGAUUAGAUACCCUGGUAG
rnacentral:rRNA from 1 species